ensembl:snoRNA LOC120100481 small nucleolar RNA U13
AUCUUGAAAAAUGGUAACUUUGAAAGCACGAUGAUUGGGUGUUCAUGCCAUUGUGUGAUAUGUGCCACCACUAAACCCUGUUAUGACAUGCGCACAUUACCCAUCUGAUG